UCUACCCCUUAUCUGAAUUUUCACCAUCAGAUAAACAUCUUCUCAGAGUUGGAUUUUUCCCUCUCCCCAAACUGCCUUCUAUCCUUUUGAACUGGGAGUUGAAUGGGUGUCAGCUCACAGCUGUUUGGUGCAACAGUACAUUUAGGUGGCAGGUGCCAGAAUCUAAACUUAAUCUCUCUUAAAAUGAAAGUCAGUAGCCAUUAUGGCUGUACAAAUAACCAUAGUUUUACAAUUCAUCCAAAAGACUGCACCUCCAGCAACACCUUAAACCAUGCUGGGGCUUUGGGUCAUUUCUAACUUGUGGGAAAGUACCACCUAAGUCAUUAACACAGCUCCCUGCAGCGGCUGUGUGCGUCUCUCUGCCAGGUACCAACUUGCUUGGCUUGAUUCUGUUUUGCUCAGAUGGAGGAAAUGGGAUCACAGCAUAAAGUAAUGUGCAAGCUACUCAGAGAACAAAUGCAUAGAGCCUUUAAUUUUCAAAAUAGCUUUAUUUGGUCUUUUUUCAGCAUAGCGAGAACACAAUGAUGAAUAAUAGAAUCAAUGAAUUAGUAAGAGAGGUAGCUUCAGAUAAGAGAAUCAUUAAGCAGCAAUAACAAACUCCCUAGCACAACAGUAACUGUCAGCAACUAUCUCUAAUGUCCUUUCAAACACAAAGAUGAAUACACAUACAAAUGCUUGUAUCACACUAGGGUAUUGAAACAGCUGCAGCUCUGGGAAAUUGAAGAGAUCUGUCUUUCCUCACACAAAUAGAUUUGAACUUUGAAUCUGAAACAGUUACUUUAGUUUCAAGAAACUCAGCUGCUAAAUGUUUCCUGUUGCCUUAAUAAAUAUGCAUAUAGUGUUUACAUAAAACUGUAACCCAGCAUGUCUUACAAAAAUUAAAUAACGUGAAACAUGACUGAUGCAAGAACAAAAGGUAAUGGAAUAGAAUAGCCAAAUGCCUUAUAGGAAGGUAAUAACAGUGCUCUAGAUGGGAUACAAGGCUUAAACCACUGCCGCUCUGUCUGGUUGACGGCUUGUCUUAACUACUCAUUCACCAGUAGUGCCAGAUAAAUGCAGUGUGGCUAGAGCCAUGUUGAAGAUCAACAGCAAGAGGAGGAAUGUAAGGAAGGGAAGCAACAAGUCUUGUGAAUGAAUUCCAUGGACAGAUGAUCCAGAUCCAUCAGUCAUUUGCUGCUGAAGAAGAAUCUGAUCAGCUAGAUAGGAGGAAAGAAGCAGGUGGAUAGUUGCUGUCCAGUGGGACUGAGACAGAUGACAUUAGGUUUGUCCCUUAUAUGUCUGAAUCUGAUGCCAGGUUUUUUACUUCCUAUCUUCCAGCUACUGAGUCUAGGUUGGAACACACUUCCCUUUUAUUGAUGUAACUUUCAGGCCAUGCCAGGUCACUGCUGCUAAUGCUGAAUCAGGUUUGCCGAGGAAUGAUCCAGUAGAUGGGUUAAGAUGCUCUAGAUUCUAAAAGGAAAAAAAAGAGAAGAAAAUCUUGUUGAUUGUU